AAAACGACUCUCGGCAACGGAUAUCUAGGCUCUCGCAUCGAUGAAGAACGUAGCAAAAUGCGAUACUUGGUGUGAAUUGCAGAAUCCCGUGAACCAUCGAGUUUUUGAACGCAAGUUGCGCCCAAAGCCAUUCGGCCGAGGGCACGUCUGCCUGGGCGUCUC
rnacentral:rRNA from 2 species